AAAGCCCAUUAAUGGUGGCAGUUUGUGACACAACUGAAGGCUCCUCUAAGGGACAGCUCUCCGCGAUUCCACCGCGUGCCGGCUUUGGAGGCGUUUGCUGGCGUGGUGAGGCUCAGCUUCCCCCUCUGUUUCCCAGGCUCCAGAGACUAAUCCUUCCUUUGGCUGGCUCUGCUGCUGCUAUGGCAAUAUUUUCUCCCCCAUCGUGGUAAUCACGCAAUGGUCUCUGAGAACAGCAGGAGAAGCUGUGCCUGGUAGAUGCAUAAAAGGUGUUUGUCAUCUGUCCCGAGCCGAAAGGAUGCAUGGCACAUUCCCAGCCUGUUCCCAGUGCCCGCUGCCCCUGCAGGACUCUGGCAGCCCAGGAGGGCAGUGUGGGGAGCAAGUAUUUCAUGGCAGCAAAGGUGCUGGGAAGAAAAUGUACCUGGUGCAGGAGGAAGAGCCCGACACAACGAGCUACUCGGGAGCUCUGGCUCCAUGGACUGUGCUCUCCCAGCUCCAGUGUUUAUACUGAGGCCAUGAGACACAGGAAAUCACAUUUAUGUCAUUAGCUCUGGCUCUCCUAGGUUUGUAUCAAAGUAGCUGUUUUAAAUGUAAUUAUCACUAAUCUGGGAAAACGCACCAUUAGAUAUGUAAAUUUAUUGGUUAAUGGAUGCGCACGGCAGCUCGCAGUGGAUGGGAUGUGGGAUAACCAAACUGGAACCAUUUCUCAGCUUGCUAAGCAGGUUCCUAGGGGUGGGUUUCAUAUCUGACAGUCUCCCAGGUGCCUUCCCUAUAGGCCACCUGGGACCUGGAGCUUCCUCCCAUGGAAGGUGCACAUCCUGCCUUCCCCAUCAUGUUUGGGGUGGUGCAGAAACUUCUGCAGGAGUCCAGGAAGAAAAAGGGGAUGGCUCUUAAAAUUAUACAAGGAUCCAAAAAAAAAAAACCCCAUGGAGUCAUUCAUCAGGAUUGCAGUAGUUCUUGACCACAUAGUCAAUGAUUUAUGUAAUCUUAAUAUAUUCCACAAAGAGUCCCCAUAUUUCCAUAAAUAUGUCAUAUCUACCUAAUACAUAGUAAUGAACCUGCUCCAAGGGUAAAUAAAUAAGAUCUAAGCUCAGAAAGCCAAUGUUUAUCAAAGGGAGGUAUAGAGAUAUUGAGUCCUUUAAAGUACCAUUCUUCACAGCAAUCACAACCAAGUUUGGCAAUUUAUAACGUGUCGAGUCAAUUAGAAAUCCCAGGGCAGUGCAGCGGGGCUGGGCACGCGCGAGGGCUCGCAGGGCACAGACACAGAUGUGCCACACCCUGUGGGGAGCCCCCAGCACUGCCCCUCCACGGGCACUGAGAGCUGGCAGCACGUCUGAGAGACUGAUCCAGAAGGAGCUGUGGAAUCACUGGGGCUGGAAAAACCCUCUGAGAUCACCCAGUGCAACCCAGCACUGCCAACGCCACCACAAACCCACGUCCCCAAGUGCCACGUCUGCACAGCUUUUAAAUCCCUGCACCACUGCCCUGGGCAGCCUCUGUCACUGCCUGACCACUCUUUCCCUGAAUAAAUUGUUCCAAAUAUCCAAUCUGAACCACUCUGGCACAACUUGAGGCUGUUCCCUCUUGUCCUGUCCCUUGUUCCUGGGGAGCAGAGCCCGAGCCCUCACCUGCCAGGGAGUUGUGCAGAGCCAGAAGGGUCCCCUGCGCCUCCUUUUCACCAGGCUGAGCCCCUCACAGCUCCCUCAGCCCCUCCUGGUGCUCCCGACCCCUCCCCAGCUCCAUCGCCUGACUCUGGACAUGCAGAGUCUUGUUUACAGCUCCUGCUCUCAGGUAGGGGUUUCAUAAGAGGGAAAUAGUUUUAAGCAGAAAAUUUGACUUGGACUGUUUUAAUUUAUCUUAUUCCAUUUAUCCAUGGAGUUACAUACAACUGUGCAUAACAUGAUGUAACAUGCUAAUGUAAAUAUUUCCAUAAAAAUACAUUGAAAAUACCUAAAAAUGUAGCUGCAAAGGGAAAUAACUAAUUUUUUAGAGGUUGCGCCUUUUUAAUCUUAUUUUCUACAGCAAAGUAUUUCAUGCCAUUUUAUAAUUAGUUUGAUGAAGUCAAUAAUAAUAGAAUAUUCUGAUCAUGUCAAUAUGACAUGUAAUAUUAUGCACUUCUCUACUAUUAUGCAUAUUAUGACAUGACUUGACAUGAUAUGACAGGUCACAUUAUGCAUUACUACUGAUGUCAUAAAAUAAUGUAAAAGUAAUGAAAACAAAUCUUGCAAUGAAAAAUUUUUAAAGGAAUUAAUGACUUUUCCUGCAAGAAAUUCCAAAGCAAAUCUUCUUCCUUUCCAGUUUUAAGUUUGCUUCAUUGUGUUACUCCACUCUGCCCCCAGGUAAAACCUUUCAUUCCUCGUCCUCUGCUUUGCUGCCCGCUUGUUGCUUUGUUCCCCACAGCAGCUGGGCUCAGUGCUGGCUUUUAAAGCCUCCCAGGAGCAGUGUCAGGACACAGAAACCUGGAGCUGGGGGAUGUGUCCUGGCACACGAGAGGACGCGGGUGACAAGGACACCGCCUGACACCAGACUGGCACUUGCCAACUCCCAUGUGAAGUACACAGCGUGCUGAUCCUGAGCUCCCUCUGCUUCAAAGGCCGUAAGAGCCUGUGACUCCACCAACCUUUUAAAUGGAAAAGGGAAUCCCCGUGGAAGCAGUCGUGAGGCAGGGCAGGGCUGUGUGAGGAGGGAUGAAGGACACGGAUGCUCAGAAGGCUCCAGAUCAGGGCAGUUAUUUUCCAGCCCUAGAAGAUGCCUGUUCCUCAGUGCACACCAGGAAGGGAUGCUUUGCCGCUGGGAGGGAGGGAGGGAGCUGCAGGAUUUGCUUGUUUCUGUGUGGACAUGGCAAGCAGCAGCACAGAGCUUCUCUUCAUGCAGACUGUGCAGCCAUUAGAUGCUCAUCCCACAGCCUGGCAAGCGCAGUGGGACCCAGAGCCUGUGGCUGCCCCACUCCGGUGUCAGUGGCACCCUGGCCAGCACGGCUGCAGGACAGCCUGCCAGGGCCCCAGGGGCCGUGUGAGCCAGAACUGGCACGGCACAGCUUGGCCCCAGCCCUUCUGCCUGGGCUUAUCUGCAUCUCGUGUCUGAUCUGAGCAGGAUCCAUGAGAAGACAGUUAACCCACGGCUGACACAUCUGUGAUACGACGAUCAUAGCGAGGAAGCAGCUUGACCCCCAAAGGCUCCUGUGAACAGGCAGGAUUGACACUUUACAUUGACUUUGCUUCAGGCUUAUCAACAAAUCUCCGCCAGUUUUAUUAAAGAGGCGCAUGUGGGACGCGCCAGGCUCAGACAACUUCAUUCUCCAUGGCUCAGGCACCAAGUGCUCAGCUCGCUGCUCCUGCUUAUGCUCUACUGUGUUUAUGUGUUCGCUUUGCUGCUGAAUUGAGCUUUACAAAAGCCACUUGUGGUUUCAGUAAAAGCCCAUGGAGUUUCCUGGCGGUUUCAUGAGGAGGAGAAGAACAGGUUGGGGCUGUGGCACCCAGGGACAGUGGUGAGUGCAGGCAGUGGGGCAGGGACAUCCUGGCAUUCCUGAGGGAUGCAUAAUGCACUUGUGUCUCUGCAGAUCUCUGAAACCUGUCCUGAAUUACAUCCCCAGGAAACACUGAAUCCUAAAAUCCCACUCAAAACCCAGAUAAAGCUGCUUGGGUAGCGCUGACUUUUCUAAACUGGUUUCCUUGUUCUAGGCUCUAUUUUUUUAGCUCAGUUAAAUGUGUAUGUCAUAUUUUUAGCAGGACAAGAGGAUUGGGGCAGGUUCCACUGGAGGAGAAUCAGGGCAGCAAGCAACCAGCAGGAUAUACUUCUCUAAGGCAUCAUUUGGUAAUUAUGUCUCUUUUUACUCAUGCAAAUUGUAUCAAUAUUAUUUAUAUAUUCAGAGCCAUUUAUAAAUAAUAUAUACAUUUAUGCUAAGGUAAUUGCCUCAACUAGAUUAUUUGUCCCAGUUUUUAUUGUCUACCCAGAUGCUGAAUAUUAAAAGUAAGUUUUCUGGUCUGCGUUGGUGGCUCAGCACUGGCUGUGUUCCCAUGGGAAGAGAACUCUGCAUCAGCGGGUCUGGUGGGAGGAAAAGGCAGAGGAUGGUGCUGAGAGAAAGGGUAGGGAGAGGGGAAGGAUGACAGGAUGACAGGGAGGGAGCUGGGAGCCGGUGGCUGUCCCGAGGUGCUGGUGCCAGCCCCUGUGCAUGAGGUGCUGCAGCAAGCCCAAGCCCCCUCAGCAGGGCAGCAGCCAGGGGUGGGCUCCUGUCAGGAGGGACAGGGCUCCAGGAGUGGCUCAGGAAGCUGGUCCCAGUAUUGUUCACAUCCCAUCCCAGCUUCCACCUCUUCACUUACCAAAACUUGACAUUGCAAUGAAAAAAGAUUAGGAGCAUUGACAGGCCUGCAAAGGUGACAGCUACAAAGAAAUAUGGAGCAAUCACGUUGUCAGAGUGCCUAUUAGGAACCCAAAAACCUCGGCUCUCCUGCAUAAGCGCAAGUGAUUUAUUGCCCAGCACAGUUCAUGAACUCAUCAGUGGUUUUGCAUGGAGAAGAGAUGGAUUUUCUUUCAGCUGUUUAUGGUGUGAGUAGACUGUCCUGGAAGUUAUUGUUUGAUUUUAUCAGCCAGCAGUGCUCACUGGGUGAGCUGAGGCUCCCCAGCAAGCAGCCAGAACUCUCCAGAGGGCUGAAGAAGUGCUGCACAGGCACUUCCUGGGAAUUCCUGGAAUGACCUUGCUGAACAGAACAGCUCACACCUGGCUGGGCUGCAGUCUGUCCAAAACAAGAUCCUGUUCCUAUGUAGCCCAGAAAACCAACUUGUGCAGUAUCUUCUGGCUUCUUCCAGAGCAUGGUGCUGCUGUCCCAGGGCCCUCGGUGCCCCUGACCCCGCUGGCCACAGCUCUGAGGGCACCACUGCCUGCUGCUGGCUGCCACUUUUGACCGCCUGCUGCAUGAAAAGGUUUGAAGGCACGGAUGCAUCCUCAACUUUGUGACAGCCCUGUGUUUAUGUUACACAGGUAUUUGCAUCCUCUCCCCAGGACUGUGCCUUGGAUGCCCUGGGAACAGCUGUGGUUUAUGUCGAUUUUAAAGGUGAACUUUCAUGCUCAGUGAAAUUUUAAAAGCAGUUGAUUUACACAUGAAUCCACUUCUGGUGACAGUCAAUGUAGCUGUUUCCCUUCCUUAAUGGUUUGUGACUGAGGAGCUGGGCUGUAAACAAGUGGCUGCUGAGCAGAGCAGGCCUGUGGGCUGCCCUGUGCCCACCUGCUGCCUGUG